rnacentral:rRNA from 1 species
GACGAACGCUGGCGGCGUGCUUAACACAUGCAAGUCGAACGGAAAGGCCCUGCUUUUGUGGGGUGCUCGAGUGGCGAACGGGUGAGUAACACGUGAGUAACCUGCCCUUGACUUUGGGAUAACUUCAGGAAACUGGGGCUAAUACCGGCUAGGAGCUCCUGCUGCAUGGUGGGGGUUGGAAAGUUUCGGCGGUUGGGGAUGGACUCGCGGCUUAUCAGCUUGUUGGUGGGGUAGUGGCUUACCAAGGCUUUGACGGGUAGCCGGCCUGAGAGGGUGACCGGCCACAUUGGGACUGAGAGACGGCCCAGACGCCUACGGGAGGCAGCAGGGGGGAAUAUUGCACAAUGGGCGGAAGCCUGAUGCAGCAACGCCGCGUGCGGGAUGACGGCCUUCGGGUUGUAAACCGCUUUCGCCUGUGACGAAGCGUGAGUGACGGUAAUGGGUAAAGAAGCACCGGCUAACUACGUG